CUGGUCGGUUUCAAGGAUUUACUGUGAUGACGUGUGUCAACGUGCCCGGCACCACGUACUGUACGUAGUUGGAACAGAGCAGACGUUUACUUCCUGCUGUUGACGGUGGGGUCCUGGAGAGCCCCGUGGCAGAUGACAAACAGAAGCUGGACAGGGCCAUCUCUUGUCCUCACCUGUGAGCUGAGUUGAGGACAGCCGCACCCUGCCGUCCACAGUCUCCCCUCUCCUGGGCCUGCCACCAUGCCUGGCGUGCAUGAUUCAUUCACUGAGUCAGCAGAGGCCAGUCAGCUGCCUCCAGUGGCCAGGCACCGGGCUGGGAGCUGGGAGCACAACUCACCAGUGACGUGGGCUCCCGGGCCUCAGAGACUCACCACUGGGUCAGAGGGUAGAGGAAUGAGCCGGUGGCCCACGUGGAAACCUCUGCAGGAGCAGAGCGGGUGUGGGGGUUGCAGCCAAGUGGGGGCGCCUGGAGGACAUGGCUGCCACCUCCGAUGAGCCCGGGGCCAGGCAGGGUGGCGGCAGCAGGACCAAGGCUUGAGCUAACAUGGCCCAGCCGGGAGAUGGCAAGUCCUAAAGACCAGAAGCCCGUGUGGACCAGCCCAGCCUAACCCUGCACUUGAUGCUGGACCUCUGGGUGGGCCCUAGUGUAUGCUCACCUAACCGAUCAGGACAGAGCCUGUUUCCACCACAGGAGUCAUGAAAUCAUCCAGCGCUUGGUGCUCCCUUUGCACAGUUCGUGGGGAGCCUUUGCUCAUGGCAAAUGCUGUGCAGCAUUGCUUUAUUUUUGCAUCCCCCCACUGAAUUACGGCAAACACAGCGGGUAACAUAGCCCUGGGGCUGUUUGAUGGGGCAGGGCAGGGGGCUGGGUCUCUAAAGUCCUUUCCUAGGGAGCAAAUGCUGAGCUUGGGGGUGCCUGCUUCUCUGAGCCAGGUGGGGUGCUCAAGUGAUUCGUUCCUUGGUUCUGAUGACUCCCCCCUGGCUGUUUUACUUGGAUAUUUCUUGAUCCACAUUGUGUUUUGUGCCAAGAGCAGUGAAAGUUUGGGCUGGGAGACAGUGAGCUCCUGCCUUCCUGCUUUACUGUGUGUGAUAACGACCCACCACGUGCCAGGUACCACACUAGGCAGCUUGCCACGCAUCUCUGCGCUCAGUCUUGCCAUCCGCCUGUGUCUUCAGAAGAUGGGACGCCUGGUACUUCUCUACUGCUUGUUCCAUGCCAGGGGGUGUGGAUGUUCUUACCGAUUUUCACAGCGAGGCCAGUAAGGUGCUAUCAUUAGAGUUUUCUUGAUGGAGAAUAUUAGCACGGAGAGGGGAAGAAACUUGCUCAAGGUCACACAGGAAGUAGCAGAGCCAGAAUUUGAGCUCAAGCAAGACCAGCACUCAUAACCGAAGAACCCUGUGCCAAGGCUUCUCGCCCUUUCACAGCGGAGGAGACAGACUCGGGCUCUUGGGACUGUCCCAGAACCAGACCUGUGGCUGACAGAGCGAUGUCCCUGCAGCUACGCCACCCCCGCGGGGCUCACGAUGGAUCAGGAGAAACUAAUCAGCGCCAGCGGUAAAGCCACCUGUGAUGGGCGCUUAGGUCACAUGUGUCCUACCCAGGUACCUGGAUGGAAAUUGGCCUUGAAACACAGGUUCUGCAGGCCUUGGAAGGAAGCGAGGUUGCCGCCUGGUUUCUGUCCCUUGCAGGUCGCAGCAUGUCAACUGUGAUGGUCGGUAGCAUCUGGGGGGGUCUCUGUAAACCUAUCGGCUGGCACCGUGUGAAGAGGAAGCGUGGAUAUGCGUGCAGCAACUGAAUCUCGGCUGUGUCUGAGGUCAGGAUUCUGGGUUGGAGUCACGGGUUCACCAUGAACCGGUGGGGGCAUCCCAUGGUCCCCUUGACCCUUGGUUCUUUUCAUCUCUGACUUGGAGAUCGUAGUAGCACGCUCCUCAUCCAGCCCUGGGGAGGCUUCCGUGAGGUGGAGCGCGCCCAUUUCCUGGCACACACAAGCGUCCAGCCCGGCUUAACUCCUGCCGCCCUUAAUGAUGGCUGUCCUCAUCUGCAUUCCAUUAUAACCCUGUUGCGUGCAUGGUGCCAGGUAGCUGGAGGGUGGACUUCUGCCAGAGGGGCCCCAGAGGCUGGGAGAGUCCAGGGGAGACUCCCUGGUUUGCAGGGCUCAAGAGGGACAGCGAGAGCUACGUGGAUGCAAGGCCCAGGGUUCCAAAGCUGAAGGGACUGGAGGGGGACAGUCAAGCACCCUCAUUUUACAGAUGAGCAAACUGAGGCCCCGAGAGGGAAAGGGACUCCUCCAAGUGCACAGGGCAGGGGAGCUGCCGUGCUCCAUUGCCGAGGGUACAUCCCGAGGAGGCCGGAGGUUCCCACUGCACUUCGGGGGAAGGCUCGUCUCCGCUCGCUCGGUCCCCUGACAGCAGCCUAUGCUCUGCUGCCUCGGACCUCGCCAUCCAGACCUUUUGUCAGAGGCGGGCAGGAGAGACGCCCGGGGCUGGGCCAGUGCGAAGGCACUGCUGCAGGACCAGCCCCUCCCACCGGGGGGGCCCUGGGGGGGCAGCCCUCAGUGACAAGGGGACAGUGGGCAUUGCCACACUCCUGCCAGCUCAGUCCUCUCUCCGCUGUGAUCCGGACACGGGGUCCCCAUGCCGGGAGCCCCGACGGCCAGUGGAAGGAAGAAGCCCUUGGCGUGGACACCGCAGAGCUGGAAGUCUGGUCCGGGCCCACCCAAGACCUUGGAAUAGGUCCUGCAGUGUCAUGUUUCUUUGUGGCAAACGAAGCUUCUCUGGGAUAUUUGCAAACCUAAAGCCGCUUGCUCCCUCAUCUCUUCCUCGGGCCCAUGCCUGGCCUUCCUUGUGCUCUUCCAUCAGUGCUGUUGGCCAAGGAACCUGGGAGGAGUCACACCAGUUGGUGUCCCUGGUAACGGGCCCGCCAACCGUGGACCUGACCGGGACCAGCUCCAGCCCUGCUCGCCUGGGGUCUCCUCAGCCCAGGGACCCCGCAGGAACCAUGGCUGCCCAUCCUCUGGUAACAGGCCUACAGCUGGGACCUCAGCGCAGACCAGGCCACAGCCCUGCACCCCAGCUGCACCCCAGCCCCAUGCUCCAGGCACUAGGCAGGAGAGGCCAGGCCGGGAAGCCUGGAAGGGUAUCUUCUCCUUCAGAUGCGCACACACCGACAGAAGGCCGCAAAGGUCCCAAAGAAUCAGGCCAGCACAGUGCCACCAAAGCACUGAUAAAGCUCCAACAACUGACUUUAAAGGAACGGAGAUUCGUGAACCAUUUGACAGUGAAUCCAGAAUAAUCAUCUUAAAGAAGUGCAGUACUGGAACUCUUUGUGUGGUUGAAAUUGUGCGGUUUGAGUGCAGGGCACAGGGUGAGUUUCUAUGCUGAGCACCGUGCAAACUGUCCAGUGCCGGAGAUGUGUGUGGGGGUGGUGAUCACGUCCAGCUGCAGUUCCUUCCACGCACACAGGGCACCAGACUCGAGGCAGAAAGUUGCAAAGGCCGCGGUGUGCACACUCACCACUCUCUGUUCCGUUCAGUUCAGCCGUGUUUAUUCUGCUCUCAGGAGGAACAAGGGUGAGACUUGCACAAACCGCAGACCUCCCACCAAAUGCCAGGUGUCAGCGAGGGAGGGACUUGAGGGCACCCAGCUCCCAGAAAGACACGGCCUGUUCCCCCCCACAAUUUAAAAAAAAAGCAAGAACAGUCUCUGUCCCUUGGAAACACAUUUGUAAAAAUACAUCAAUAAGAUUAAAAGAUUCAGGACACCUUUAUAUGUAUGCAGCGCAUACACUGAAGAUCAGAACGUCUGCUGGAUCCGAAGAUGUCUGUAAACAUCUGUCCUAGGCUGCGGGGGCCCCACCUCCUUCCAGGUAGCUUCCUGUGGUAACUAAAAAGAUCAGAUGUCAGGGGCGCCUGGGUGG